rnacentral:lncRNA from 1 species
AUGAUACUAGUCACGAGUGAGUGUGAGGAACACUACAAGAUAGGUUUACUCAGAAGUUGUUUAUUUGAAGAAGACACAUUUAUUUGGUCUGGAGAAAGAAAAUCUGGCUGAGGUGAAAAUCCCUGAGCUGGCUCCAAGGCUCCCUGAAAGGAACAGCAAGUGUAUCAUCAGAUAACCGCCACCCAGCGAUCCCCUGGGAGCGCCCCUUGACCUUUUACCAAAGAUGGACCCACUACAUUCAAGGUCUCUUAUUCCCCCAGCAGUGCUGUUCUAGGUUAAUGCUAUUUUGGGAGCGUGGUUCUUCAUUUCAGUGUGAAUUUCCUCAUCUUUCCGCACAAAUUGAGUGAAAUCCUUAGUGCAUUUUUCUCUUAGAUGGAUGGAGGCUAAAAGAGAAUGGAAGGCCUCCAGCUGUUUGAGGCUCUGUCCUCAACGACAAUCAAAAUUCUCCAUCUUUUCUUGUUCUUGGCACUUUCUGAUUGAAAUAAGAUUCCAGCAUUUAUCUGCACCUGCAAUUUUGACAAGAAAGGAAAAUUUAAAAGACAAGUGAAAGAAUUCUCUGAGGGAAGUCAAUGAGUCGACAGUAGUCAGACGCCUGCGAAUCUCUUUUUGCAUUCCUCCGUCAAUUAAGCUACAGUCACAUAUUGGAGAGCAGAACUUA